rnacentral:lncRNA from 1 species
AUGUCCCACGCAGUUUUGGAGAGCUGGGAGAUGGAGCUGCCAGGUAGGACUCGGGGGGGUUACGUCUAUUUCCUUGCAGUUGAUGCGUCACUGCGGUGGUGGGAUCACAUUCGCAUGCUUCUGCCUUGCUUCUGGGUGGAGAGGGGCCGUUUGUUCUGUGGAUCAACCAGUUGGGAUGGGGGGCUCAGAGCAAGAGCAUGGGGAAGGAUGUGUGGGCCACCGUGCCCCCCCACGAUGGUGCCACUCGCCUCCACAGAGAUGCACACAGAUGGGAUCAGGCUGCUGCUCAUGACUCCUUCCCGGGAUGCUGGUGGGAAUGCAGAACCAGCUCACUGCUCACCGUGCCACAUCCCUGCCCAUCAGGUGUCUCAAUGUGACGACGAGAUGGACGUCCCCAGCGACUGCUCCGGGUGGCCCCCACCCACCACACCCGUGUCCAACACGGUGUCACCAAGACGCCUGCCAGGUGUCAGCGGGGAGCCCCAUCCACGCUGGACCCCAUCCGUGGGGCACAUCGCCCACAGCCGGCUCGAUGCAAGGAGGGACAAGGCGGCAGACAAGGCUCGGUGCAGCAUUGCCCUUCGAUGGGCAGGCGACGGUGGCGGGUGACAGUCUGGUGGCACGUGGUGGGGUCUGUACAGCGUAACUGGCGACAAGAAUGAUCCCGGCAGGUGGGAGACGUGGCCGUCCUCGGCCCUUUGGCGCCGCUCCCCGUCCUCCGGCGUUGUGCCCGUCUGACGGAGAGGAGUCCCCGGGCGGCCGUCCCGGGACCCUCCACUCCCUUAUCAAAAGUCGAGGAGGAGGCGAGCGAGGAGGGUGGCCCAGAGGCAGAGGCCAGCGGCCGCCCGGGAGGCUGCGUUGCCACUGUCGUGCACCGCUCCGGGCCCUGCACCAGGGGGAGAA